AUUGAACGCUGGCGGCAGGCCUAACACAUGCAAGUCGAGCGAGCGGAGGACGGGUGAGUAAUGGAUGGGGACUGUACGAUAGAGGGGGAUAACUACUGGAAACGGUGGCUAAUAGCGCAUACUACAGGUUAACCCUUAUGGGAUUAGCUACUAGGUGGGGUAUAGGCUCACCUAGGCGACGAUCUCUAGCUGGUCUGAGAGGAUGAUCAGACAAACUGGGACUGGGACACGGCCCAGACUCCUACGGAGGCAGCAGUGGGGAAUAUUGCACAAUGGGCGCAAGCCUGAUGCAGCCAUGCCGGGUGUAUGAAAAAGGCCUUAGGGUUGUAAGGUACGUUCAGCAGGGAGGCGUUACCCGCAGAAGAAGCACCGGCUAACUCCGUGCCAGCAGCCGCGGUAAUUC
rnacentral:rRNA from 1 species